AUGGGCAAAAAAUCGAAGAACUCAGUCACCACACAAACUCAAUGGAAAAGACUCAAGAUUGACUUUGUCGAAAGGAAAAUAGACAAGGAUGAUGUAUUUUUUGAAGAAGUCAGCGACGAGCAAUUAAAUGACAAAAUAAUUGUUCCUCUUUUCACAAGCAGUGGAACCUUUGAAGAGACUAUCGGGAUCUUAAUUCAAUGGAAUAUUUGAAAUCUCGUUCCGACAGACUCAGCGAAGUUUUCCUAUCGAAAGUCAAUUCAUAUUUUGAGCACAUUCGAAUCACGCUUGCUCUACCGUUUGAUGAGUCGAAAUGGGCAGAAUUGGAAACACUGACAGAAACUGAUCUCAACAAAACACCGAUUUUUAUCAACAAUAUUCGAACAUCUACAGUCUCUGUCAUACUCCAUCUCGAAAAUCUUAUUAAAUCGUUCCAUCUGAAUGUAAAAAGUGCAGAAAUUUUUCCAUUCGACUCUGACUCAUUUGGGCUCCCACCGAUCAAUUGCAGGAAGAUUUUGAAUCCAUUAUUAUGGAUGAAAGCAGGAAUCGAAAAGUUGAUUCAAAAUAAUUGUCAAUGCGACCAACCUCCAAUUGUUCCACUGAUUACAUUGCUAGAUCUUGCGCCAAAGGAAGGUCAUUUUCAGGAAUUAGCUAUUGCCUCAUUCUUUCUAGAGAAUACUGCCCAUAAACUUGACUAUUCAUGUUCUGAUGACGAAAAAAAGUUCCUGGAUCAGAUAAAGAUGAAGUUUGGAACAACAAAAGUUGACAAAUUAACAAUGGUUUUACCGGAUAUUCUGAUGGCAUACAGCGAAGAGCUUGUGGAAAGAGUGAUGCCAGUGUCAUAUUUCAUCCCAUUUGAACUCUUCCGUAUGAUGCUGCUCUCUUGGCAACCAAAAGUAUUGAAUCUUCGAUUAAGAACAGAAGCAUGUUCUUCUAUUGAAGAUGCUGCAAGAAUUGAAUGGGAUGACGAGGAUGUUUUCACUUCUACCACUCUUUUCAACUGUCCCUUGUUUGAUAGAUGCGAACCAGUGUGUCUUGGAGACGAAGAAAUUAUUUUGAAUUGCAAAUUGAUCGUUGAUUGCUCAGGAAGUCGUCUUUUUGAUCCCAUGUUCAACGAGGGGAACGUCUAUACUGCUGGCAGAGAUUUCUUGGUGUUAUUCCCAAUGCAAACGAUCAUAUUGAAAAGAAUUGUACCAUUGAAAGUUGGUUCAUCAGUGAAAGUUCAAUUGAAAAAACAAAUCGACUACAUAGUGAACACAUUCUUCUUCAACGCCAGCGAACACCAAGAUCGAGUUGUAAACUAUGAACUCACAUUUACCAACUCUACAGAUGUUCAAAUGAGUGCAGUGAAAAGAUGUAUACCACAAGUCGCCAAUGGACGCCAAAUUGGAGUCAAUUUGAAUGUUGAGCAAGAAACAAGAGAUUUAUUCACUGAUCAUGGCAAUUCUUGCCCUGGAAGACAUAUGUUCGCCAGUUUUUUCGAUUCAGAAAAUCAGGUUAUUGUAGAUCUAAAAGUAGUGCUGGCCAAUUAA
rnacentral:misc_RNA from 1 species